rnacentral:lncRNA from 1 species
UAUUCCUUAAUAAACUCAAAUUCAAAUCAUCCUUAAUAAACUCCAAAUCAAAUCUUCCUUAAUAAACUCCAAAUCAAAUCUUCCUUAAUUUUAAAACAUUCCAACUUACCAACGGAAGGAAAUCAACAAGUGUUCAUGUAAUAACCAUAACACAUGCAUAUUAAUAAUAAUAUUAUAACAAACCAUGAACCAUGCACAUGUCUAAUAUACUUAAAUUAGUCAUCAUUCAAAACAUCAUAAAUUCAAAAAC